rnacentral:rRNA from 1 species
UACAGAGGGUGCGAGCGUUGUCCGGAAUCACUGGGCGUAAAGGGCGCGUAGGUGGUGGCUUAAGCGUGCGGUGAAAGCUCGGGGCUCAACCCCGAGUCGGCCGUGCGAACUGGGCUCACUGGAGCAUAGUAGAGGCAGGUGGAAUUCCGGGUGUAGCGGUGGAAUGCGUAGAGAUCCGGAAGAACACCGGUGGCGAAGGCGGCCUGCUGGGCUAUGGCGUGACACUGAGGCGCGACAGCGUGGGGAGCAAACAGG